rnacentral:miRNA from 1 species
CGUAUGUACAUAUGUACAUACAUACAUACUUAUGUAUACAUAUGUAUGUACAUACACAUACAUACAUAUGUAUGUAUGUAUGUACAUACGCACAUACAUAAGUAUCUAUGUAUGUACAUAUAUACAUAUG